CCCCAAUCCUCUUUUAUUAAAAUUCCAUAUCCCUCUUAACGCAACUUUUAGCCUGUACUUAACAAUAAGUAGUUUUCCUAGAGCUUAAAAAAAAAAAAAGUUGGGGAAGGAGGAGAAAUUAAACAUGUCAACAAAGUAAGAUUUCUGCUGCUUAUUAUGAAGUCCUCAGGAGUAUCACCAAGUAGAAGAAAAAGCUGAUAUGAAAUUUGUAAACAUUCUGCUUUCCUUCUCUUUAUGUGCUACUAAAAUUGUUAUGUAAAAUAUUUUCCAUUUUUAUUUUUCUUUAUGGCUGACAUAAUUUCUUUCAAAGCAGAGGAAAUAGAGGUGAAGUAUAAAGUGAGAGCCAGUUUCUUCUCUACUCUGCAAUCUGGGAGAAAAAACUUUUACCCAAGGACAAAUCAGGAAGUGAAUUGA
rnacentral:lncRNA from 1 species